rnacentral:tRNA from 1 species
GCCCGGGUGGUGAAAUUGGUAGACACAGGAGACUUAAAAUCUCCCGCCGUAACAGGCGUACCGGUUCGAUUCCGGUCCCGGGCA